GGCCGGAUAAGGUGUUUGCACCGCAUCCGGCAAUCAAUGCCUGAUGCGACGCUGUUGCGUCUUAUCAGGCC
rnacentral:ncRNA from 1 species